AGUAGUCACGUAGUUGAUCAUGGCUCAAGAACGAACGCUGGCGGCAUGCCUAACACAUGCAAGUCGAACGAGACCAUCGGGUCUAGUGGCGCACGGGUGCGUAACGCGUGGGAACCUGCCUUUAGGUUCGGAAUAACUCAGAGAAAUUUGAGCUAAUACCGGAUAAUGUCUUCGGACCAAAGAUUUAUCGCCUUUAGAUGGGCCCGCGUUGGAUUAGCUAGUUGGUGGGGUAAAGGCCUACCAAGGCGACGAUCCAUAGCUGGUCUGAGAGGAUGAUCAGCCACACUGGGACUGAGACACGGCCCAGACUCCUACGGGAGGCAGCAGUGGGGAAUAUUGGACAAUGGGCGAAAGGCCUGAUCCAGCAAUGCCGCGUGAGUGAUGAAGGCCUUAGGGUUGUAAAGCUCUUUUACCCGAGAUGAUAAUGACAGUAUCGGGAGAAUAAGCUCCGGCUAACUCCGUG
rnacentral:rRNA from 1 species